rnacentral:rRNA from 1 species
UACGUAGGUGGCAAGCGUUGUCCGGAUUUACUGGGCGUAAAGCGCGCGCAGGCGGUCGUUCAAGUCGCGUGUGAAAGCCCCCGGCUCAACUGGGGAGGGUCACGCGAUACUGAUCGACUCGAAGGCAGGAGAGGGUAGUGGAAUUCCCGGUGUAGUGGUGAAAUGCGUAGAUAUCGGGAGGAACACCAGGGGCGAAGGCGACUACCUGGCCUGUUUCUUGACGCUGAGGCGCGAAAGCUAGGGGAGCAAACGGG